rnacentral:rRNA from 1 species
GACGAACGCUGGCGGCGUGCUUAACACAUGCAAGUCGAACGGAAAGGCCCUGCUUUUGUGGGGUGCUCGAGUGGCGAACGGGUGAGUAACACGUGAGUAACCUGCCCUUGACUUUGGGAUAACUUCAGGAAACUGGGGCUAAUACCGGAUAGGAGCUCCUGCUGCAUGGUGGGGGUUGGAAAGUUUCGGCGGUUGGGGAUGGACUCGCGGCUUAUCAGCUUGUUGGUGGGGUAGUGGCUUACCAAGGCUUUGACGGGUAGCCGGCCUGAGAGGGUGACCGGCCACAUUGGGACUGAGAUACGGCCCAGACUCCUACGGGAGGCGGCAGUGGGGAAUAUUGCACAAUGGGCGGAAGCCUGAUGCAGCAACGCCGCGUGCGGGAUGACGGCCUUCGGGUUGUAAACCGCUUUCGCCUGUGACGAAGCGUGAGUGACGGUAAUGGGUAAAGAAGCACCGGCUAACUACGUGCCAGCAGCCGCGGUGAUACGUAGGGUGCGAGCGUUGUCCGGAUUUAUUGGGCGUAAAGGGCUCGUAGGUGGUUGAUCGCGUCGGAAGUGUAAUCUUGGGGCUUAACCCUGAGCGUGCUUUCGAUACGGGUUGACUUGAGGAAGGUAGGGGAGAAUGGAAUUCCUGGUGGAGCGGUGGAAUGCGCAGAUAUCAGGAGGAACACCAGUGGCGAAGGCGGUUCUCUGGGCCCUUCCUGACGCUGAGGAGCGAAAGCGUGGGGAGCGAACAGGCUUAGAUACCCUGGUAGUCCACGCUGUAAACGGUGGGUACUAGGUGUGGGGUCCAUUCCACGGGUUCCGUGCCGUAGCUAACGCUUUAAGUACCCCGCCUGGGGAGUACGGCCGCAAGGCUAAAACUCAAAGGAAUUGACGGGGCCCCGCACAAGCGGCGGAGCAUGCGGAUUAAUUCGAUGCAACGCGUAGAACCUUACCUGGGUUUGACAUGGAUCGGGAGUGCUCAGAGAUGGGUGUGCCUCUUUUGGGGUCGGUUCACAGGUGGUGCAUGGCUGUCGUCAGCUCGUGUCGUGAGAUGUUGGGUUAAGUCCCGCAACGAGCGCAACCCUUGUUCACUGUUGCCAGCACGUUAUGGUGGGGACUCAGUGGAGACCGCCGGGGUCAACUCGGAGGAAGGUGGGGAUGACGUCAAGUCAUCAUGCCCCUUAUGUCCAGGGCUUCACGCAUGCUACAAUGGCUGGUACAGAGAGUGGCGAGCCUGUGAGGGUGAGCGAAUCUCGGAAAGCCGGUCUCAGUUCGGAUUGGGGUCUGCAACUCGACCUCAUGAAGUCGGAGUCGCUAGUAAUCGCAGAUCAGCAACGCUGCGGUGAAUACGUUCCCGGG